rnacentral:rRNA from 1 species
AUUGAACGCUAGCGGCAGGCUUAACACAUGCAAGUCGAACGAGUGACGGACGGGUGGGUAAUACAUGGGAAUCUGGCCUAUAGCGGGGGAUAACUACUGGAAACUGUAGAUAAUACCGCAUACCAUUGGAGUGGCCCACGUGGGCUUAGCUAGUUGGUGAGGUAAAGGCUCACCAACGCGACGAUCCCUAGCUGGUCUGAGAGUAUGACCAGCCACACUGGGACUGAUACACGGCCCAGACUCCUACGGGAGGCAGCAGGGGGGAAUAUUGCGCAAUGGGGUAAACCUGACGCAGCCAUGCCGCGUGUAUGAAGAAGGCCUUCGGGUUGUAAAGUUCUUUUGGUAGCGAGGCGUUAACUACAGAAGAAGCACCGGCUAACUCCGUGCCAGCAGCCGCGGUAAUAC